GACGUUGUUUAUAUUUUCACACACGGAGCACAUAUGAAAGAGAAGGGAAAACUCGUCUGCCUUCACUGCCUUUACAACACAGGAGCAUGGAGGCCACACACAGCUCCCAGAUAUCCAGAGAUGAGAGUAAAUAAACCAGGGGAGCCAUCCCUGACACCAUGUGUGGCUACGUACAGUGCAGACUGAAUAAGGGUCGUUGGCCUAUUUGUAGUGGACGUGGCCUUGGGUGCAGCCAGCCAGUGGCAGUCUGAGGCCUCUUUGUAGGCCGCCGAACAUGCACCAAACCACAAAUUAUCAUUGGAGCAGGACAGGCCUCCUGCACCACAACCAGGCCCACCUCUAACUCCCCGAAAGCUUUGGAUUUAUGGCAUGAGUCCAAAUAAACAUGUCUGAACGUUGUGGCAGAGAGGAGCCGUGGUUGAGCAUGCAUCUGAGAGAAUCAGAUCUCACACCUGUAUUAGUGAUGUAGCCCGCUACCAGGUAAUACAAUCGCACACUUUCUUAAAUAAAUCUUAAAAUAUUAAUUCAUACAUGAAUCCAUGAUCUUCAGUAUCUCUCCUUGGCCCUGUGUCUCUUGUUUUCAGCUUUCCUUCCCUUUCACCACUUCCUGUUCUCACCGAGUCUUUGCUGAAUUCAGUCUACUUUUUUCAUGGUAAAUGAGGUGUGCAGUAAUGUAAACAUUGCUUAGAGAUGUUUACUUUUGUCUCUGUAUAAUUUCUGGUCAGUACAGUAGUCACACUUAUGCAGGUAGAGUGCUGAGUGGAAAUCUUUCCAGCGGUUCUUCGUCAUUUGUAACCAUCUACCAGGGUGGGAUUGCUCAUUAUAAUAUUCCCUGCCUGUUGGAGAAAUUAGGAGCAUUUCUGUUUUUACUAGUGGUUUUGCAAGUUUUGACUGAUUAUUAAUAACAGAGGGUACUCUGUUUAUUAAUUACUGUUCAUAUAUUUAUGCUCCACAGAGCAGUCAUUUUGGAUGUUCUUGUUAUGUAUUUAAAAAAAUAAAACAAUACUAUAAUAACAUUAUUUAUACAUCACAAUGCCUGACAAAAGAUAAAAAAUAAAGAAACUUAAGAGAGACAUUUGACAAUAAUACAAUUACCAGCUAUAAAUAGGUGAUAAAAAAGUCAAUUAGAGCAUCCUAGGUAAAAUCAAAUCAAAAAGUAUCCUUAUUUCACUAAUAAAGUCAAAUGUUUCUAUCAAGGUUGGAGAUUUUCAGUUAAAGCAGAAAUGUAGAGCUGUGUAAUAAUAGAAACACUAUGUUCUCGCUCACGAGAUAUCUCUUAAGCCCCUG